rnacentral:lncRNA from 1 species
GGUCCAUCCAGUUUAUUAUGCAAUUACCGGUAUCUACGUUACAACACUUGUAGUUCGAUCAUGAUUAUCAAUAACAACAAAACGAAACGACUCCGAAAAUUGUGUAAUUCGUCAUAAAGCAAGACAACCGUUGCACGCUAUAGCAUCAACGUGGAAAUAGUUUCAUUUCCAUUCGGUCUAUAGGUAGUUACGGUAACGAGUGGCAGGUGUCACGGGUCGCGGGAACAUGAGGCAGGACGGUGGCGGGGGAUAGCAUGACAGCGCCUGCCACGGCGGCCUGAUGGCGCUAGUGCGCCGCAUAUUAGGCGACGCCCAG